UACGUAGGGUGCAAGCGUUGUCCGGAAUUAUUGGGCGUAAAGAGCUCGUAGGCGGUCUGUCGCGUCGGCUGUGAAAACCCGGGGCUCAACCCCGGGCCUGCAGUCGAUACGGGCAGACUAGAGUUCGGCAGGGGAGACUGGAAUUCCUGGUGUAGCGGUGAAAUGCGCAGAUAUCAGGAGGAACACCGGUGGCGAAGGCGGGUCUCUGGGCCAUAACUGACGCUGAGAAGCGAAAGCAUGGGGAGCGAACAGG
rnacentral:rRNA from 1 species